AGGUCCCAAUCAACUGUGAACCCAUGAUCCCCACACCGAGCUCUAAGCCUCAACGUCAAGCUUGGGACAAUUAUCGGUCACCAACAUCGAAACCUGUAAUCGCCUCUUUCACAACAACAACAACAAUAACUCAUGAUGCAUGAAUAAAUGUAUGCAUCAUCACAACAACUCAACAACAUAAACGGUAUCACUAAACCAUAUAAUUUCUUGUACAACAUCAACAAGAUAGUUUCAUAUUGAAACCAUAUACCUCAACUCAACAUAUCGUUAAAACACCAUAAUCAAAC
rnacentral:lncRNA from 1 species